rnacentral:miRNA from 1 species
CAGAGUACGCAAAAAACAAUU